rnacentral:rRNA from 1 species
AGCGAACGUUAGCGGCGGGCCUAACACAUGCAAGUCGAACGCGAAAGGUCUUCGGACUGAGUAGAGUGGCGCACGGGUGAGUAACACGUAGGUAAUCUACCCUUUGGCGGGGGAUAACGUUCCGAAAGGAGCGCUAAUACCGCAUAAGACUACGGAGUCUCCGGACGCUGUGGGAAAAGGUGGCCUCUUCUUGAAAGCUACCACCGAAGGAUGAGCCUGCGUCCCAUCAGCUAGUUGGUAAGGUAAUGGCUUACCAAGGCGAAGACGGGUAGCUGGUUUGAGAGAAUGAUCAGCCACACUGGCACUGGAACACGGGCCAGACUCCUACGGGAGGCAGCAGUGAGGAAUAUUGGGCAAUGGGCGAAAGCCUGACCCAGCCACGCCGCGUGAGUGAUGAAGGCC